UGAGGAAUAUUGGUCAAUGGGCGCAAGCCUGAACCAGCCAAGCCGCGUGAGGGAAGAAGGCCCUAUGGGUCGUAAACCUCUUUUGUCAGGGAACAAAAGCGAGUAUGUAUACUAGUCUGAGUGUACCUGAAGAAAAAGCAUCGGCUAACUCCGUGCCAGCAGCCGCGGUAAUACGGAGGAUGCGAGCGUUAUCCGGAUUUAUUGGGUUUAAAGGGUGCGUAGGCGGCGGUGCAAGUCAGCGGUAAAAGCCCGGGGCUCAACCCCGGCGAGCCGUUGAAACUGCAGUGCUAGAGAAGGCGAGAGGUACGCGGAAUGCGCAGUGUAGCGGUGAAAUGCUUAGAUAUUGCGCAGAACUCCGAUUGCGAAGGCAGCGUACUGGCGCCUGACUGACGCUGAGGCACGAAAGCGUGGGGAUCGAACAGGAUUAGAUACC
rnacentral:rRNA from 1 species